rnacentral:rRNA from 1 species
GAUGAACGCUGGCGGCGUGCCUAAUACAUGCAAGUCGAGCGAACAGACGAGGAGCUUGCUCCUCUGACGUUAGCGGCGGACGGGUGAGUAACACGUGGAUAACCUACCUAUAAGACUGGGAUAACUUCGGGAAACCGGAUCUAAUACCGGAUAAUAUAUUGAACCGCAUGGUUCAAUAGUGAAAGACGGUUUUGCUGUCACUUAUAGCUGGAUCCGCGCCGCAUUAGCUAGUUGGUAAGGUCACGGCUUACCAAGGCAACGAUGCGUAGCCGACCGGAGAGGGGGAUCGGCCACACGGGAACUGAGACACGGUCCAGACUCCUGCGGGAGGCAGCAGUAGGGAAUCUUCCGCAAUGGGCGAAAGCCUGGCGGAGCAGCGCCGCGUGAGUGAUGAAGGUCUUCGGAUCGUAAAACUCUGUUAUUAGGGAAGAACAAAUGUGUAAGUAACUAUGCACGUCUUGACGGUACCUAAUCAGAAAGCCACGGCUAACUACGUG